rnacentral:rRNA from 1 species
AGAUUGAACGCUGGCGGCAUGCCUUACACAUGCAAGUCGAACGGUAGAGUAGCAAUACUUGAGAGUGGCGAACGGGUGAGUAAUAUAUCGGAACGCGCCCAGUCGUGGGGGAUAACGUAGAGAAAUUUACGCUAAUACCGCAUACGAUCUAAGGAUGAAAGCGGGGGACUCGCAAGAGCCUCGCGCGAUUGGAGCGGCUGAUAUCAGAUUAGGUUGUUGGUGAGGUAAAGCUCACCAAGCCGACGAUCUGUAGCUGGUUUGAGAGAACGACCAGCCACACUGGGACUGAGACACGGCCCAGACUCCGUACGGGAGCAGCAGUGGGGAAUUUU